AUGGGCACAGGACGGUGCCCCGCAGGGGCGCCCAGCGCGCUCCCUGGACAUCUUCCGAGCCACAGGGCGAGGAAAGGCACCCCAAGCCGCUGGGUGGGCUUCGCAAGCGGAACACAGGAGAGCCCCCAAACCUGUGACUCCAGGGCCUCGCUCUACAGGGAGAGCCGCCCUGCCUGCCGGGCCAUGUGGCACCCGCUGGUCCUGAUGCUGCUGCUGUUCCCUGCCGUCUCCAUCCCCAGCGCCACUGCCGCUCCCAUCCCGGAUGCCAGGAGCCAGGACAGCCUGCAGAUCGUGCUCCAAGGUGCUCAAGCUGGAGGAAACAGAGCGCCCUGGGCAUUCCCAAAUCGAGUCCCUCACUCUGGCUGUCCUCCUGGGUUAUGAGGUGGCUGCUGUGGUGGUGCAGCCCCAAAGCCCAGGAAGCUGGCCUGUAGUUCUGUGAGAAGCCUCCAUGGCUACAGGCCAUCUACAACAGGCUUCUUAAAGGGGGCCCACCUGGAAGGGAGACCUGGGUCCUCCCUCAGCUCAAACAGCCCACCCCCAAGACCUACUUCAGGCUAAUCAGCAGCUGUCGGGGCUGGGGGUGGGCACCAGGGCACUGGCGGGGGACAGACAUGUAUCUUUACCAGCCCCCAUCCUCAGCUCCAUGUAGAAAUAAAGUUUCUUACAGCCAGCUGUGCUAUUUCUUUCACAGCCAGUCCCCAUCACCUAGCCAACCAAAAAUAAUUUCUUCCAUCUAAUUUACAAGCUCCUGUGGCAGCAACAUGGUGUGUGAUGCUUACCAGAGAGUGUGGCUCACAUUUAGUUCUCAAAAACAUUUUGUUGACAAGAAUAGAUGUACACAGUUGAGUCCACUGCGUGCUGUCUGGAUGGACCCCCUUCUCUGAUGCUCCAGCCCCAAGCUCCAACUUCAAUAUUGCCUAAAGUGGUGAUCACAUUGGACUGUUUAAAAAUAUUAGAGUCCUAUUGUCCUAAUGAUGAAAUUGAAGAUAACACAUGUUGAUGGGUCGGUGAAAAGAAAUAGGUCAUUCAUCAUGGGGGACCUCUACCUCUGUUCAUAGGUGAAGAAGCACUAUUUGUUAAAUUAAGUUGUGAGGUUAAAGUGAUGACAUAUUCCUCUUUGGUUCUGUGUUCUGGUGUCUGUGUGUCUGGGCCUAUGGCAACAUGGGCAUGGGCAACUAUAUACUCCAGCCUGUGAGGGUAGGUCCCUGCUUGAUCCAAGCCAGAGGAGCUGGCCCACAGUGGCAGCUACCUUUAGUAGAUGGUGGAGCCAAAUAAACGUGGGGACAUAGAAAAAAGGGGCAGGCAGGGGGCUGAGCUGGAGGCCAGAGAGGUCAAGACUGCUGAUGGAGUGGGCCUGGCAUAAGGCCAGAUGGGUGGAUCAGGUGGCAAUUAUAAACUGGGCUCGGGGG
rnacentral:lncRNA from 1 species